GAUGAAAUCCAGGGCAGAGCCCCCCAUCCCGGGUGAGGGGAUUCCCCCGAGCAGGUGGUCCACUUGCCAUCUAUCCUGGCCGGGCAUGCCCAUUCCAGCUGUGUGCAGCUUAAGGUGCUGUCGCUGCCCUAGGCAUGCCAAGGAACAGAGGAGGGCAGGUAUCUUCUGGGCACCCUCUGGAGUCAAAUCAAGAUUUGAGGUACCCUGAGGAGCCUCGUAGCCAAAGGUUGGAAACAACAGCACCGAGGCACACACGGAGCACAUUUCACCAUCCACGUCCGACCGAGGAUGGAUUUUGUCUGCUCCUUUUCCAAAAGCUAAGUGUCGGGGCCAGCAGUUGGGAGAAGGGGAAAAACCUUUACUAUCACAGAGGGCAAUUUGAUGUCAGCUUAGCGGAGAGGUCUGUAGUGGGACCAGCUCUCUGGAAGAAAAGGGAGAGGGUUUCUCCUCAGCCUGACCAGAGCCUUUGCUGGGCAGGGCAGUUCCGACCCAUCUCAGCAUUCUCGUGAACUUUGCGUUGUCCGCCUUCCUCGGCCCGACGUCGUCACGGAUCAUUCCCCCGAGGAGCUCGCCUUCACGUCCGGAGCUACAGCCACGGUCACCCGGCCGUCGGCUUCCUUCUCUAGGCUCGCUGAGCCUCUCGAGCAUCCUCUUAACUGCUUUGGCACUAACUUCUUUUAACGAGUUACAUUUCAUCAUCACAUGCUAUCGUCAUAGGGCUUCCUCUCCUUUGGCAUCAUCAGCCUCUGGCACAUCUUGCGCUAGGCAUCUCGGGUGCCUAAGGGGACAGUGCCAGGCAGUUGCCACUUGUCUCUGUGUCUAUGUUGUCCGUGUCUGUGUUGUCCGUGUCUGUGUCCGUUGUCUUCCACGUCAUAGGCCUUUAUUAUGUCUCAAUGCUUUAUCGGCACUAUUCUGUGCCAUCUAGGCUGUGUUCUACUCACGUUCCUUUCUGGAUAUCCCUUAUUCUGGCAUCUUUACAUUUUUACUCUUUGAGACAUUCCUGUCUCAAAGGGAGAAGAUGUUCUCAUCCAUCUUCCUUCUCACUACCAGCUUUGGUAGUGCCUUUUUUUCCAUGCCAUUUUCUUGGACUGCUAGAGGGAGUGUCUUGCACCCUCCUCAUGUGACUGCAGUACUUCUAUAGGUUCCAUCUUCUCAAGGGUAUAGGACUCAAGAAUUCAUCUUCCAGCGAGUUAUCUCAAGUCCUGGCUUAUAUUGUGUGUACCUGUGCUGGCUUAUACUGUAUGUACCUACCCUCUAUGUACACUUGCACUGUAUGCAUCGACUUAGAUUGUUGUGUGUACUUAUAUUGUACCACUUAUGGUUGGAGCUGCCCUGCCCGGGCACGUAGUCACAGUCAGGUAGAAGAGUUAUAAAAACUUUACUGUUCAUCUGUCUUUUAUGGGAUUUUGGGUAGAAAACUUAUUGGUCCAGAGUGGAGACAAGUCCUAGCUGUCAGAUAGCCACUCGUUGACCGCUUCCUGUCGUCUCACAGGUCCCCGAGGCUACCAAUUUCCCCAGAACCUACCAACUGACGUCAAGGAGCGCAGCCAGAAGAUGUGUGGCAGCACGUUCUUCAGCGUCUCGAGGUGAGCACAGGGUGAACUCUCUCCUCCUUGCUGUGACACCUGGGCUGGCAGGGAUGACACAGUGACCUCGGCCGGCCGAUGCUGCCUGUGCCAUCACCUGGCACUGACGUGUUUGAUGAAAAUCCUUUUGCUGGGAUUUUUCUCCUGAGAAGCUUCAGAACAGAAAUGGAACCAAUAACGAUCUGCUGGCUGUGGAGUGUGGGCUGGAGAUGGUUUAGCAACAGGGGCAUCUUGGAUUGGUCUCCUGUGCAGUGUCUACUUGAUGACCAAUCAUGGUCCAGCUGCGUCGGGGCUGUGAGCAGUCCCAGGUUUUUAUUAUUCAUUCCUUUCCAGCUUUCUGAUGUCUCCUUGUUCUUUUAGUAUAGUUCUACUAUCUCAUUUUCUUUUAAUAUAAUAGAGAUCAUAAAAUAAUAUUUCAGCCUUCUGA